GACGAACGCUGGCGGCGUGCUUAACACAUGCAAGUCGAACGGAAAGGCCCGGUUUUUGUGGGGUGCUCGAGUGGCGAACGGGUGAGUAACACGUGAGUAACCUGCCCUUGACUUUGGGAGAACUUCAGGAAACUGGGGCGAAUACCGGAUAUGAGCACCUGCUGCAUGGUGGGGGUGGGAAAGUUGCGCCGGUUGGGGAUGGACUCGCGGCUCAUCAGCGUGUUGGUGAGGUGGUGGGUUACCAAGGCUUGGACGGGUAGCCGGACUGAGACGGUGACCGGCCACAAUGGGACAGAGAUACGGCCCAGACUGCUACGUGAGGCAGCAGUGGGAGAUAGUGCACAAUGGGCGGAAGCCGGAUGCAGCAACGCCGCGUGCGGGAUGACGGCCUUCGGGUUGUAAACCGCGUGCGCCUGUAACGAAGCGUGAGUGACGGUAAUGGGUAAAGAAGCACCGGCUAACUACGUG
rnacentral:rRNA from 1 species